AUAAAGCUGAAGUAAGAGAAUUACUUAAUUACAAAGCUAGUUCGGAACUAAACGAAGUUAACCGUGUUAUUGAUGCAGUUUGGACUUUAUGUCUUCGCAGCAGGUUAUUAAACCCCAUUAAACUAAAUUGGUGACCUUGAGAACUUAUCUGCAGGGUGUCUUAGCCAGGGGGUUAUAAUUAACCCUUGGAUCAUUUUCAGCUGGUCGGUGAGAGCUUUUGGAAGCUUAACUUGAGCAGGAGUGAGGCCUCGUGAGGCUGAUUUGGGACCCUUGUAAAUUGAUUUGGAGAUUAGUACGAGAGCCAUCUACAGGAGAGUCUAGGGAUCGUGGCAAGGGAGUCACGUCUAGUUAGACAUUGCUAGGGGUAUGCUAGUCGAUCACCUUGCUACUCGGGCUACGGCCGAGGGUGAUGUCCCUAUGUAUAGAGAGACUACCAUUGUACCUAUUUUUGUAUACCCCGUGAUGUAUAUUUACUGUUGAACCAGAUGUUUUUGGUUGUGAUACUUCUUCCUGUGGUUGAGAUUUU